CGGAGGGUGCAAGCGUUAUCCGGAUUCACUGGGUUUAAAGGGUGCGUAGGUGGAUUGGUAAGUCAGUGGUGAAAUCUCCAGGCUUAACUUGGAAACUGCCAUUGAUACUAUCAAUCUUGAAUACCGUGGAGAUGAGCGGAAUAUGUCAUGUAGCGGUGAAAUGCUUAGAUAUGACAUAGAACACCAAUUGCGAAGGCAGCUCGUUACACGAAUAUUGACACUGAUGCACGAAAGCGUGGGGAUCAAACAGGAUUAGAUACCCUGGUAGUCCACGCCCUAAACGAUGGAUACUCGACAUUUGCGAUAAACUGCAAGUGUCUGAGCGAAAGCAUUAAGUAUCCCACCUGGGAAGUACGACCGCAAGGUUG
rnacentral:rRNA from 1 species